UACGUAGGCAGCAAGCGUUGUUCGGAAUUACUGGGCGUAAAGAGUGUGUAGGCGGUGCUCUAAGUUCGGUGUGAAAUCUCCCGGCUUAACUGGGAGGGUGCGCCGGAAACUGGAGUGCUUGAGCGUGGGAGAGGAAAGCGGAAUUCCUGGUGUAGCGGUGAAAUGCGUAGAUAUCAGGAGGAACACCUGUGGUGUAGACGGCUUUCUGGACCAUAGCUGACGCUGAGACACGAAAGCGUGGGUAGCAAACAGG
rnacentral:rRNA from 1 species